UCUUCAAAUCCCAGUUUAUACAGCCACUUUCAAGGUUUUAAACCAAACACCACCAACCAACCUUCAAAAUGUCUCCCUGCUCUUGCAACUGCUGCUCCGGCAACUGCAACUCCUGCUCUUGCAGCUCUUGCACCGUGAGUAUUUCCUAGCC
rnacentral:sRNA from 1 species